CUUGGGGCUCCCAGGCGUCUGGCCUGUCCUGCGAGCCGCUCAAAUUCCUCAGCCUCUCCUGGAGAAUCCCGACAUAUAAAAACUGCUGGGCGUGGGAGCUCACACCUGUAAUCUCAGCACUGGGGCACCAGUUCAAGGCCAGCCUGGGCUGCAAAGUGAGUUCAAGGGUGGAUUCCUGAGGACCGUGGCUGGUGUGGGGCCAGAACUUCAGCCGCCCUCCGGCUCCAGGGAGGGGGCAGUUGCGGGGUCUGUGGCUGCCACUCAGCCCAACUCAGGCCUGAUUUCACCCCAGAGGGAGGGGGCCAUAGAGGCCAGGAGGGAAAAAGCAGUCAACUGAAGCUCAGAGAACUGCAGGUGCCUGACCAAGGAGCAGCAAGGCCUGAUUCCAAACCUGGAUCUGACACUUUGAUCUAAACUUUGCUGCUUGGGGUGCUGUGUUAAGCAAGGAUUUUUUUUCAGCUGGGACCCUGCACAGCUGGCCUGGUGAGUCUUUUCCACCACAGUCACACCCAGCACAUCACGAGACUCUCUUCUCCCCAGCCAGACUCCACCUGCCUGCUCAUCUUGAUGCUGGGGAUCUAACCAGGGCCUCAGGCUUAGUAGCCAAGGGUUGUACCUGCUGAGCUAGGUCCUCUGCCCUCCUGGAGAUAAGGGUUAAUCAGGUCUUGGUUACUCUAAAUGAUCUUUGUUUGUGCAGUACUGGGGAAUGCACAUGUGGUCGAAGCCUUCAGUCCUGUGUUGAAUUUUUAAUUUUGAGACAGGGUUUUACUCAGUCCCUGAG